rnacentral:rRNA from 1 species
CUCGGCCGCGACCCCAG